rnacentral:rRNA from 1 species
GACAGAGGCCUCAAGCGUUAGGCGGAAUCACUGGGCUUAAAGCGUGUGUAGGCGGACGCCUAAGUGUCUUGUGAAAUCCCCCGGCUCACCCGGGGAACUGCUGGGCAUACUGGGCGUCUUGGGCCAACUAGGGGCAACUGGAACAAGCGGUGGAGCGGUGAAAUGCGUAGAUAUCGCUUGGAACGCCGAAGGUGAAACAGGUUGCUGGGUUGUGCCGACGCUGAGACACGAAAGCCAGGGAGCAAACGGG